rnacentral:rRNA from 1 species
CAUGCAAGUCGAACGGUCUUAUGUAGCAAUACGUGAGGCAGUGGCAAACGGGUGAGUAACACGUAAGCGAUCUGCCUUGAAGACCGGGAUAACCCCGCGAAAGCGGGACUAAUACCGGAUGUUGUAGCCGGGUCGCAUGACCUGGUUAUGAAAGGGAAUCCGCAAGGAAACCGCUUCAAGAUGAGCUUGCGGCCUAUCAGCUAGUUGGUGAGGUAACGGCCCACCAAGGCUAUGACGGGUAGCUGGUCUGAGAGGACGGCCAGCCACACUCGCACUGAGACACGGGCGAGACUCCUACGGGAGGCAGCAGUGAGGAAUAUUCCGCAAUGGGCGAAAGCCUGACGGAGCGACGCCGUGUGGGUGAUGAAGUCUUUCGGGAUGUAAAGCCCUGUCAGAGGGGAAGAUAUAGACG